rnacentral:rRNA from 1 species
GAUGAACGCUGGCGGCGUGCCUAAUACAUGCAAGUCGAGCGAACAGACGAGGAGCUUGCUCCUCUGACGUUAGCGGCGGACGGGUGAGUAACACGUGGAUAACCUACCUAUAAGACUGGGAUAACUUCGGGAAACCGGAGCUAAUACCGGAUAAUAUAUUGAACCGCAUGGUUCAAUAGUGAAAGACGGUUUUGCUGUCACUUAUAGAUGGAUCCGCGCCGCAUUAGCUAGUUGGUAAGGUAACGGCUUACCAAGGCAACGAUGCGUAGCCGACCUGAGAGGGUGAUAGGCCACACUGGAAGUGAGACACGGUCCAGACGCCUACGGGAGGCAGCAGUAGGGAAUCUUCCGCAAUGGGCGAAAGCAUGACGGAGCAACGCCGCGUGAGUGAUGAAGGUCUUCGGAUCGUAAAACUCUGUUAUUAGGGAAGAACAAAUGUGUAAGUAACUAUGCACGUCUUGACGGUACCUAAUCAGAAAGCCACGGCUAACUACGUG